rnacentral:misc_RNA from 1 species
UACGUAGGUGGCAAGCGUUGUCCGGAAUUACUGGGCGUAAAGCGCACGCAGGCGGUUGAUCAAGUUCGGCGUGAAAGCUCCCGGCUUAACCGGGAGAGGUCGUUGAAAACUGAUUGGCUUGAGGCAAUGAGAGGGGUGUGGAAUUCCCGGUGUAGUGGUGGAAUGCGUAGAUAUCGGGGGGAACACCAGUGGCGAAAGCGGCACCCUGGCAUUGACCUGACGCUCAUGUGCGAAAGCGUGGGGAGCGAACGGG